rnacentral:lncRNA from 1 species
GUUUGCAUUUGAAUUCAAAUUCGAUUUGAAUUCAAGUGAGCAACCACCUAUCUUUAUCCUCUCAUGCGGAUAAGACACGUCUUGCACUGUUUUAAAAGAGAAGAGAAGGUGGGGCGUGCGUAGAAUUUUUUUGAGAGAGAAUAGUGGGCAUGAGGAAGCCUUGUGCAUGAGUUGGAAGUUCAAAAACUUUCGAGAGAAAAGAAAAGAAAAGAAACAAAAGUGGG